rnacentral:rRNA from 1 species
UGAGUAAUGUCUGGGAAACUGCCUGAUGGAGGGGGAUAACUACUGGAAACGGUAGCUAAUACCGCAUAACGUCGCAAGACCAAAGAGGGGGACCUUCGGGCCUCUUGCCAUCAGAUGUGCCCAGAUGGGAUUAGCUAGUAGGUGGGGUAACGGCUCACCUAGGCGACGAUCCCUUGCUGGUCUGAGAGGAUGACCAGCCACACUGGAACUGAGACACGGUCCAGACUCCUACGGGAGGCAGCAUG